AAUGAACGUUGGCGGCGUGGAUUAGGCAUGCAAGUCGAGCGCUCAUAGCAAUAUGGGAGCGGCGAACGGCGUAGUAAUGCAUCGGAACGUACCCUUCGGUCGGGGAUAGCCACGGGAAACUGUGGGUAAUACCCGAUGAUAUCUGCGGAUCAAAGGUGAGAUUCCGCCGGAGGAGCGGCUGAUGUGAUAUUAGCUUGAUGGUGGGGUAAUGGCCUACCAUGGCGAUGAUGUCUAGGGGGUGUGAGAGCAUGGCCCCCACGACCGGAACUGAGACACUGUCCGGACACCUACGGGUGGCUGCAGUCGAGAAUCUUCCGCAAUGGACGAAAGUCUGACGGAGCGACGCCGCGUGCGGGAUGAAGGCCCUUGGGUUGUAAACCGCUGUCAGAGGGGAUGAAAUCUCCGGGGGUACUCCCCCGGAGUUGACAGAGCCUCAAAGGAAGCACGGGCUAAGUACGUGCCAGCAGCCGCGGU
rnacentral:rRNA from 1 species